GGGGAUGUAGCUCAGUUGGUAGAGCGCCAGCUUUGCAAGUUGGAUGUCGUCGGUUCGAGACCGUCCAUCUCCA
rnacentral:tRNA from 1 species